rnacentral:rRNA from 1 species
GACGAACGCUGGCGGCGUGCUUAACACAUGCAAGUCGAACGGAAAGGCCCUGCUUUUGUGGGGUGCUCGAGUGGCGAACGGGUGAGUAACACGUGAGUAACCUGCCCUUGACUUUGGGAUAACUUCAGGAAACUGGGGCUAAUACCGGAUAGGAGCUCCUGCUGCAUGGUGGGGGUUGGAAAGUUUCGGCGGUUGGGGAUGGACUCGCGGCUUAUCAGCUUGUUGGUGGGGUAGUGGCUUACCAAGGCUUUGACGGGUAGCCGGCCUGAGAGGGUGACCGGCCACCUUGGGACUGGGGUACGGCCCCGACUCCUACGGGAGGCAGCAGUGGGGAAUAUUGCACAAUGGGCGGAAGCCUGAUGCAGCAACGCCGCGUGCGGGAUGACGGCCUUCGGGUUGUAAACCGCUUUCGCCUGUGACGAAGCGUGAGUGACGGUAAUGGGUAAAGAAGCACCGGCUAACUACGUG